rnacentral:rRNA from 1 species
CCUACGGGAGGCAGCAGUGAGGAAUAUUGGUCAAUGGACGAGAGUCUGAACCAGCCAAGUAGCGUGAAGGAUGACUGCCCUAUGGGUUGUAAACUUCUUUUAUAUGGGAAUAAAACGUUCCACGUGUGGGAUUUUGUAUGUACCAUAUGAAUAAGGAUCGGCUAACUCCGUGCCAGCAGCCGCGGUAAUACGGAGGAUACGAGCGUUAUCCGGAUUUAUUGGGUUUAAAGGGAGCGUAGGUGGAUUGUUAAGUCAGUUGUGAAAGUUUGCGGCUCAACCGUAAAAUUGCAGUUGAAACUGGCAGUCUUGAGUGCAGUAGAGGUGGGCGGAAUUCGAGGUGUAGCGGUGAAAUGCGUAGAUAUCACGAAGAACUCCGAUGGCGAAGGCAGUUCACUGGACUGCAACUGACACUGAGGCUCGAAAGUGUGGGUAUCAAACAGGAUUAGAUACCCCAGUAGUC